rnacentral:lncRNA from 1 species
UUUGGGACACUUAUCACGAAUCCGACAGCUUCCUUCUUUAUAAAUAGAUACCUCCUCCACUAUUCUUUCUCACCCAUUUUCACCGUUAAAGACAAAAAUUCUACAGAGAUAAAGUUAGAGAGAGAAAAGAAGAAAAUUUUGAAGUGAUUAACGGACUAACUUACAAAGAAUUGUCAGUAUCAGUAAGGAAUUUAGUAUUUUCUUGCACUAACUAAGAUGCAUUUUUUUAAAAA